rnacentral:rRNA from 1 species
UACGGGGGGUGCGAGCGUUGUCCGGAAUUACUGGGCGUAAAGGGCGCGUAGGCGGGAUGGCAAGUCGGUCGUGAAAUCCUUCGGCUCAACCGAAGAACGUCGAUCGAUACUGCUGUUCUUGAGGGUUGCAGAGGAGACUGGAAUUCCCGGUGUAGCGGUGAAAUGUGUAGAGAUCGGGAGGAACACCGGUGGCGAAGGCGGGUCUCUGGGCAAUUCCUGACGCUGAGGCGCGAAAGCGUGGGGAGCAAACGGG